GGGUUGUGAGGUUAAGCGACUAAGCGUACACGGUGGAUGCCCUGGCAGUCAGAGGCGAUGAAGGGCGUGCUAAUCUGCGAUAAGCGCCGGUAAGGUGAUAUGAACCGUUAUAACCGGCGAUACCCGAAUGGGGAAACCCAGUGUGACUCGUCACACUAUCAUUAACUGAAUCCAUAGGUUAAUGAGGCGAACCGGGGGAACUGAAACAUCUAAGUACCCCGAGGAAAAGAAAUCAACCGAGAUUCCCCCAGUAGCGGCGAGCGAACGGGGAGGAGCCCAGAGCCUGAAUCAGCAUGUGUGUUAGUGGAAGCGUCUGGAAAGGCGCGCGAUACAGGGUGACAGCCCCGUACACAAAAGCGCAUGUGCUGUGAGCUCGAUGAGUAGGGCGGGACACGUGGUAUCCUGUCUGAAUAUGGGGGGACCAUCCUCCAAGGCUAAAUACUCCUGACUGACCGAUAGUGAACCAGUACCGUGAGGGAAAGGCGAAAAGAACCCCGGCGAGGGGAGUGAAAAAGAACCUGAAACCGUGUACGUACAAGCAGUGGGAGCACCCUUUGGGGUGUGACUGCGUACCUUUUGUAUAAUGGGUCAGCGACUUAUAUUCUGUAGCAAGGUUAACCGAAUAGGGGAGCCGGAGGGAAACCGAGUCUUAAUUGGGCGUUAAGUUGCAGGGUAUAGACCCGAAACCCGGUGAUCUAGCCAUGGGCAGGUUGAAGGUUGGGUAACACUAACUGGAGGACCGAACCGACUAAUGUUGAAAAAUUAGCGGAUGACCUGUGGCUGGGGGUGAAAGGCCAAUCAAACCGGGAGAUAGCUGGUUCUCCCCGAAAGCUAUUUAGGUAGCGCCUCGUGAAUUCAUCUCCGGGGGUAGAGCACUGUUUCGGCUAGGGGGCCAUCCCGGCUUACCAACCCGAUGCAAACUGCGAAUACCGGAGAAUGUUAUCACGGGAGACACACGGCGGGUGCUAACGUCCGUCGUGAAGAGGGAAACAACCCAGACCGCCAGCUAAGGUCCCAAAGUCAUGGUUAAGUGGGAAACGAUGUGGGAAGGCCCAGACAGCCAGGAUGUUGGCUUAGAAGCAGCCAUCAUUUAAAGAAAGCGUAAUAGCUCACUGGUCGAGUCGGCCUGCGCGGAAGAUGUAACGGGGCUAAACCAUGCACCGAAGCUGCGGCAGCGAACGUAUCACUUAAAGCGAUUCAGCGGGUUACGAUUGACGGAGCGAAGCGACGUCAAAGCGUAUACAAAGUCGAGUCGGUUUAAGGAUACGUUCGUUGGGUAGGGGAGCGUUCUGUAAGCCUGUGAAGGUGGCCUGUGAGGGUUGCUGGAGGUAUCAGAAGUGCGAAUGCUGACAUAAGUAACGAUAAAGCGGGUGAAAAGCCCGCUCGCCGGAAGACCAAGGGUUCCUGUCCAACGUUAAUCGGGGCAGGGUGAGUCGACCCCUAAGGCGAGGCCGAAAGGCGUAGUCGAUGGGAAACAGGUUAAUAUUCCUGUACUUGGUGUUACUGCGAAGGGGGGACGGAGAAGGCUAUGUUGGCCGGGCGACGGUUGUCCCGGUUUAAGCGUGUAGGUGUGUGUUCCAGGUAAAUCCGGUUCACUUUAACACUGAGGCGUGAUGACGAGGCACUACGGUGCUGAAGCAACAAAUGCCCUGCUUCCAGGAAAAGCCUCUAAGCAUCAGGUAACAUCAAAUCGUACCCCAAACCGACACAGGUGGUCAGGUAGAGAAUACCAAGGCGCUUGAGAGAACUCGGGUGAAGGAACUAGGCAAAAUGGUGCCGUAACUUCGGGAGAAGGCACGCUGACACGUAGGUGAAGUGAUUUACUCAUGGAGCUGAAGUCAGUCGAAGAUACCAGCUGGCUGCAACUGUUUAUUAAAAACACAGCACUGUGCAAACACGAAAGUGGACGUAUACGGUGUGACGCCUGCCCGGUGCCGGAAGGUUAAUUGAUGGGGUCAGCGCAAGCGAAGCUCCUGAUCGAAGCCCCGGUAAACGGCGGCCGUAACUAUAACGGUCCUAAGGUAGCGAAAUUCCUUGUCGGGUAAGUUCCGACCUGCACGAAUGGCGUAAUGAUGGCCAGGCUGUCUCCACCCGAGACUCAGUGAAAUUGAACUCGCUGUGAAGAUGCAGUGUACCCGCGGCAAGACGGAAAGACCCCGUGAACCUUUACUAUAGCUUGACACUGAACAUUGAGCCUUGAUGUGUAGGAUAGGUGGGAGGCUUUGAAGUGUGGACGCCAGUCUGCAUGGAGCCGACCUUGAAAUACCACCCUUUAAUGUUUGAUGUUCUAACGUGGACCCGUAAUCCGGGUUGCGGACAGUGUCUGGUGGGUAGUUUGACUGGGGCGGUCUCCUCCUAAAGAGUAACGGAGGAGCACGAAGGUUGGCUAAUCCUGGUCGGACAUCAGGAGGUUAGUGCAAUGGCAUAAGCCAGCUUGACUGCGAGCGUGACGGCGCGAGCAGGUGCGAAAGCAGGUCAUAGUGAUCCGGUGGUUCUGAAUGGAAGGGCCAUCGCUCAACGGAUAAAAGGUACUCCGGGGAUAACAGGCUGAUACCGCCCAAGAGUUCAUAUCGACGGCGGUGUUUGGCACCUCGAUGUCGGCUCAUCACAUCCUGGGGCUGAAGUAGGUCCCAAGGGUAUGGCUGUUCGCCAUUUAAAGUGGUACGCGAGCUGGGUUUAGAACGUCGUGAGACAGUUCGGUCCCUAUCUGCCGUGGGCGCUGGAGAACUGAGGGGGGCUGCUCCUAGUACGAGAGGACCGGAGUGGACGCAUCACUGGUGUUCGGGUUGUCAUGCCAAUGGCACUGCCCGGUAGCUAAAUGCGGAAGAGAUAAGUGCUGAAAGCAUCUAAGCACGAAACUUGCCCCGAGAUGAGUUCUCCCUGAGACUUAGAGUCUCCUGAAGGAACGUUGAAGACGACGACGUUGAUAGGCCGGGUGUGUAAGCGCAGCGAUGCGUUGAGCUAACCGGUACUAAUGAACCGUGAGGCUUAACCUUACAACGCCGAAG
rnacentral:rRNA from 1 species